UGGAAGAAAGCAUUAUCCUGCCUACGUCUUGUGUCCAUACCUACAUAUAUACAUACUUGACCCUACUCUUGAUACUGCUUCUGAAUCUCUCCAGCAUAAUCCUGUCCCGAAGAAGCCUCCAGAUGCCUUCAGAAUCAAGCUAGACAUUUCCUCACUUGCAACUUGGAGUUUUUCUCAAAUACCCAAAGAGAAGACACUCACGUGAUAACAGCAUUAAAUAGUCUGCCUGUGACAAGCAAUUUGGAUUUUAUCGGAGUUAAUGCAAGGGACAUGAAAGAAGAAUGGUUUGAACCAUCUGGACCUGAGCUAAAUGCAAAUUCAGAGAAGAAUAGCAUGAUGCAGGGAAGACUUGGUACACUCGUGCUUACUAAGAGAGUCUUCUAAUGAAGGAGGUGUUACUCUCUCCAAAUGGAAUCGAAGAAAAAAACUAAAGCCGACCAUCGGGCGUAGAUUAGUGGCCUGUGUUGAUCUGAGACUCUAAGAAGUUUUGGAAAGUACUAAUAGAGAACCUUAAAACCAGUUUUUGAG
rnacentral:lncRNA from 1 species